UGCAGUCGAACGGAAACGAUGGAAGCUUGCUUCCAGGCGUCGAGUGGCGGACGGGUGAGUAACGCGUAGGAAUCUGCCUGAUAGUGGGGGAUAGCCCGGAGAAAUCCGGAUUAAUACCGCAUAGUCUAUUCGUAGUAAAGGGGGCCUCUAUUUAUAAGCUCUCGCUAUCAGAUGAGCCUGCGUCAGAUUAGCUUGUUGGUGAGGUAAAAGCUCACCAAGGCAACGAUCUGUAGCUGGUCUGAGAGGAUGAUCAGCCACACUGGGACUGAGACACGGCCCAGACUCCUACGGGAGGCAGCAGUGGGGAAUAUUGGACAAUGGGGGCAACCCUGAUCCAGCAAUGCCGCGUGUGUGAAGAAGGCCUGAGGGUUGUAAAGCACUUUCAAUUGUGAAGAAAGGUUAAUAGUUAAUACCUAUUGACUGUGACGUUAACUUUAGAAGAAGCACCGGCUAACUCCGUGCCAGCAGCCGCGGUAAUACGGAGAGUGCAAGCGUUAAUCGGAAUUACUGGGCGUAAAGCGUGCGUAGGUGGUUGUUUAAGUCAGAUGUGAAAGCCCCGGGCUUAACCUGGGAACUGCAUUUGAAACUGGAUAACUAGAGUAUAGUAGAGGAAAGUAGAAUUUCUGGUGUAGCGGUGAAAUGCGUAGAUAUCAGAA
rnacentral:rRNA from 1 species